UCUAAGUAAAAUUCGGCUCUUCUGUUGUUCCACUUCAAUUCCUAAGUAGUAGGAGAGAAGACCCAAAUCACUCAUCUCAAAUUCUGUCAUCAUUUGUUGUUUGAACUUGUUUAUUCCUUCUGUGCUCCUUCCUGUCACGAUGAGAUCGUCAACAUACACUCCAACAAGUAUACUAGCUUCUCUUUUACCUCUUGUAUAUACUGCAUGUUCUUGAUUGCAUUUUUUGAAGCCGAGCUCUUUCAGACUCCUGUUCAGCCGCAUGUUCCAAGCUCGUGGAGCCUGCCGCAGUCCAUAGAGGGCCUUGGAUAACCUCUCUCCGUUCAGAAAUGCCGACUUCACGUCUAGAUGGUGUACCUCCCAGCCUUGAUUUGCUGCAAGUGCAAGAAUGACUCGAAUAGUAUCAAGUCUAGCGACAGCUGAAUCUUUCUUCAGUUUGAACACCCAUUUUAGGCCGAUAGGUUUGUGGCCUAAUGGGAGCUCAGUUAGGG